UACAAGCAGUGGGAGCACAGGUUUACCUGUGUGACUGCGUACCUUUUGUAUAAUGGGUCAGCGACUUAUAUUCUGUAGCAAGGUUAACCGAAUAGGGGAGCCGGAGGGAAACCGAGUCUUAAUUGGGCGUUAAGUUGCAGGGUAUAGACCCGAAACCCGGUGAUCUAGCCAUGGGCAGGUUGAAGGUUGGGUAACACUAACUGGAGGACCGAACCGACUAAUGUUGAAAAAUUAGCGGAUGACCUGUGGCUGGGGGUGAAAGGCCAAUCAAACCGGGAGAUAGCUGGUUCUCCCCGAAAGCUAUUUAGGUAGCGCCUCGUGAAUUCAUCUCCGGGGGUAGAGCACUGUUUCGGCUAGGGGGCCAUCCCGGCUUACCAACCCGAUGCAAACUGCGAAUACCGGAGAAUGUUAUCACGGGAGACACACGGCGGGUGCUAACGUCCGUCGUGAAGAGGGAAACAACCCAGACCGCCAGCUAAGGUCCCAAAGUCAUGGUUAAGUGGGAAACGAUGUGGGAAGGCCCAGACAGCCAGGAUGUUGGCUUAGAAGCAGCCAUCAUUUAAAGAAAGCGUAAUAGCUCACUGGUCGAGUCGGCCUGCGCGGAAGAUGUAACGGGGCUAAACCAUGCACCGAAGCUGCGGCAGCGACACUGUGUGUUGUUGGGUAGGGGAGCGUUCUGUAAGCCUGCGAAGGUGGCCUGUGAGGGUUGCUGGAGGUAUCAGAAGUGCGAAUGCUGACAUAAGUAACGAUAAAGCGGGUGAAAAGCCCGCUCGCCGGAAGACCAAGGGUUCCUGUCCAACGUUAAUCGGGGCAGGGUGAGUCGACCCCUAAGGCGAGGCCGAAAGGCGUAGUCGAUGGGAAACGGGUUAAUAUUCCCGUACUUGGUGUUACUGCGAAGGGGGGACGGAGAAGGCUAUGUUGGCCGGGCGACGGUUGUCCCGGUUUAAGCGUGUAGGUGUGUGUUCCAGGUAAAUCCGGUUCACUUUAACACUGAGGCGUGACGACGAGGCACUACGGUGCUGAAGCAACAAAUGCCCUGCUUCCAGGAAAAGCCUCUAAGCAUCAGGUAACAUCAAAUCGUACCCCAAACCGACACAGGUGGUCAGGUAGAGAAUACCAAGGCGCUUGAGAGAACUCGGGUGAAGGAACUAGGCAAAAUGGUGCCGUAACUUCGGGAGAAGGCACGCUGACACGUAGGUGAAGUGAUUUACUCAUGGAGCUGAAGUCAGUCGAAGAUACCAGCUGGCUGCAACUGUUUAUUAAAAACACAGCACUGUGCAAACACGAAAGUGGACGUAUACGGUGUGACGCCUGCCCGGUGCCGGAAGGUUAAUUGAUGGGGUCAGCGCAAGCGAAGCUCCUGAUCGAAGCCCCGGUAAACGGCGGCCGUAACUAUAACGGUCCUAAGGUAGCGAAAUUCCUUGUCGGGUAAGUUCCGACCUGCACGAAUGGCGUAAUGAUGGCCAGGCUGUCUCCACCCGAGACUCAGUGAAAUUGAACUCGCUGUGAAGAUGCAGUGUACCCGCGGCAAGACGGAAAGACCCCGUGAACCUUUACUAUAGCUUGACACUGAACAUUGAGCCUUGAUGUGUAGGAUAGGUGGGAGGCUUUGAAGUGUGGACGCCAGUCUGCAUGGAGCCGACCUUGAAAUACCACCCUUUAAUGUUUGAUGUUCUAACGUGGACCCGUUACCCGGGUUGCGGACAGUGUCUGGUGGGUAGUUUGACUGGGGCGGUCUCCUCCUAAAGAGUAACGGAGGAGCACGAAGGUUGGCUAAUCCUGGUCGGACAUCAGGAGGUUAGUGCAAUGGCAUAAGCCAGCUUGACUGCGAGCGUGACGGCGCGAGCAGGUGCGAAAGCAGGUCAUAGUGAUCCGGUGGUUCUGAAUGGAAGGGCCAUCGCUCAACGGAUAAAAGGUACUCCGGGGAUAACAGGCUGAUACCGCCCAAGAGUUCAUAUCGACGGCGGUGUUUGGCACCUCGAUGUCGGCUCAUCACAUCCUGGGGCUGAAGUAGGUCCCAAGGGUAUGGCUGUUCGCCAUUUAAAGUGGUACGCGAGCUGGGUUUAGAACGUCGUGAGACAGUUCGGUCCCUAUCUGCCGUGGGCGCUGGAGAACUGAGGGGGGCUGCUCCUAGUACGAGAGGACCGGAGUGGACGCAUCACUGGUGUUCGGGUUGUCAUGCCAAUGGCACUGCCCGGUAGCUAAAUGCGGAAGAGAUAAGUGCUGAAAGCAUCUAAGCACGAAACUUGCCCCGAGAUGAGUUCUCCCUGAGACUUAGAGUCUCCUGAAGGAACGUUGAAGACGACGACGUUGAUAGGCCGGGUGUGUAAGCGCAGCGAUGCGUUGAGCUAACCGGUACUAAUGAACCGUGAGGCUUAACCUUACAACGCCGAAG
rnacentral:rRNA from 1 species